GUUGAGGCUUUUCCAUUAGU
rnacentral:misc_RNA from 1 species